GGCGGGAUAGCUCAGAUGGUUAGAGCGUACGACUCAUAAUCGUAAGGUCGAGAGUCCGAGUCUCUCUCCCGCUA
rnacentral:tRNA from 1 species